ensembl:lncRNA
AGAUUCAAGACGGCCAUGAGCAAACAAGUGUUUAGGAAAGUUUCCAUUUGGAGGCAUGCUGCUAAGUCACUUCAGUCGUGUCCGACCUGCGCGACCCCAUGGACGGCAGCCCACCAGGGUUCCCCGUCCCUGGGAUUCUCCAGGCAAGAACACUGGAGUGGGUUGCCAUUUCGUUCUCCAAUGCAUGAAGGUGAAAAGUGAAAGCGAAGUCACUCAGUCGUGUCCAACCCUCAGCGACCCCAUGGACUUCAGCCUUCCAGACUCCUCCAUCCAUGGGAUUUUCCAGGUCAUUCCUGUCAGAGAAGCCACUGCAGUGAGAAGCCUGCUCACCACCACAAAGAAUAGCUUCCACUUGCUCCAGCUAGAGGAAAGUCCACUUAGAA